rnacentral:rRNA from 1 species
AUUGAACGCUGGCGGCAGGCCUAACACAUGCAAGUCGAGCGGAGCGGCGGACGGGUGAGUAAUGCCUAGGUAUCUGCCUGGCAGCGGGGGAUAACGUCCGGAACCGGGCGCUAAUACCGCAUACUAUUAGAUGAGCCUAGGUGGGAUUAGCUAGUUGGUAGGGUAAAGGCCUACCAAGGCGACGACCCGUAACUGGUCUGAGAGGAUGAUCAGUCACACGGGACCUGAGACACGGUCCAGACUCCUACGGGAGGCAGCAGUGGGGAAUAUUGGACAAUGGGCGAAAGCCGGAUCCAGCCAUGCCGCGUGUGUGAAGAAGGUCUUCGGAUUUUAAAGCACUUUAAGUUAGGAGGCGUUACCAACAGAAUAAGCACCGGCUAACUUCGUGCCAGCCGCCGCGGUAAUAC